AAGACCUUGCACUUUUGGAGCGGCCGAUGUCUGAUUAGCUAGUUGGUGGGGUAAUGGCCUACCAAAGCUUCGAUCAGUAGCUGGUCUGAGAGGACGGCCAGCCACACUGGGACUGAGACACGGCCCAGACUCCUACGGGAGGCAGCAGUGGGGAAUUUUGGACAAUGGGCGCCAGCCUGAUCCAGCCAUGCCGCGUGAGUGAAGAAGGCCUUCGGGUUGUAAAGCUCUUUCAGCCGGGAAGAAAAGGUUGCGACUAAUAAUCGCAAUCCAUGACGGUACCGAAAGAAGAAGCACCGGCUAACUACGUGCCAGCAGCCGCGGUAAUACGUAGGGUGCGAGCGUUAAUCGGAAUUACUGGGCGUAAAGGGUGCGCAGGCGGUUUUGUAAGUCAGAUGUGAAAUCCCCGGGCUUAACCUGGGAACU
rnacentral:rRNA from 1 species